GGGCUGCAGUAAGUGCUGGGGCCUAGGUGUCUGGAUGUGUUCAUCCCUGAAGGUUCCUGGAUGACAGACAACAAGAAGCGUGGAUGUUGACACACAACUGUCGUGAUCCAAAGCCUCAGCCAAGAAGGAGAGUGUGUCCCAGAUGAGACUAAUCUCAUAGCUCCUGUGCUUCAGGAGGGAGAUCCAGGUGGAGCUUUAAAGUCCCUCCCAUCCUGUGGCAUGUCCUGUCUCCAUUGCGAGGCUGACAUGGCACACACAUUCAUGUGCAACCCUUUGGACCGUUCCUGGAUUGAAUUUCCCUUUUCACUGCUUGUGGCCCUGCCAUGCUAAGGAUCCCACCAACACAAGCCCAGGUACCAACAUCUGCAGGUCAGGACUUGACUCUGCAUUACAGGGCUAGCAGAACGAGUUGCUAAGACAGAUGGAGAUACUUUCCUGUCUGCUGUGCUCUCCCCCUUGGUGGAUCUGUGCACUCAGGCUGAAAUUUGACUUCCCUUUUACAGAUUUCCUGCUAAUAGCCCAAGCCAUGUGUCAUUGCUUAAAGAACUCUAUUUCCUCACCUCGCUCUGUCUCAAAGCAUGAAAGAAAGUGAUUUGUACUUCCAAAAGGAAGCUGCGUAGUGAGCCUGGAAGGUGUCCCAGGAAACCAUCAUCAAGGCAUCAAUUAUUCAUGCAAGACGCAGCAUACCACAAGAAAGACAGAGCCGGUGGUUCACACAUGUUGCUGUAAUGACAUAAUUUGCCCUGCUCUUUCCUGAAAGUGGCAUUUCCAGAGGAAAAGGUGAGUUUAUACCCCUUCCAAGGAGAAUGUGACAGCAUGUGCACCCACACAGAAGCUGAGAUGAGCAAACUGUAGUACCCCGCAGGCAAACCAAAGAGGCACACCCCUGUUGCACAACCUUUCUCCUCCUCCUUGCUCCAGGAAGGAUGGGUUCAGGGAUUUACUACGUCUGCUUUUCACCUGCCCGGCUGCACCAGUGCCUCCCAGGAGGUGCUGGAGCCAAGUCCCUCCUGCUGCCCCAGGCUGGCCCAAGUGCAGGAGGAGGGGAAAAUUUGGCGGGUGCAGGCUGAGCUCUGGGCCUGGGGCACCGAGAAGGCUCCUCCUGUGAACUCACUGCUGCAAGGGACAACAAGUCAACCCGGAUCUGGUGCAAACGGGCCGGUCUACCUGCUCCCAGUAUGCCCAGGACACCCAUGACCAAAAGCUGCACGCAGAGAACUCCAGCACGCACACCUGGUCCCAGACAAGUUCUUCUGGCCCAGGAUAUCAAUGGGGUGUGUGAAGAAGGCAUUCUUUAGCCAUGUGGUUGACACUCUUCAAAAGAAAUGGAAAAGCAAAAAGAUGUGAUCCUGCAAGCCUGUACGCCCUGAAACUCUCCCAUAGACUGAGCUGGGCUGUGCAGAGCUGCAGGACUGAGUGCCUGCACUCAGCCCACAGCAUGGCUCAUACGGGGAUUAACAGCAAGCUCCGCAGGCAGAGAAAUCCGCCCAGCUGCGCUCUGUUGCUGGACAACGCCGGUGACACCGUCAGUGAUCCGUGGAGUGAAUGAAAUACGCAGUAAAGGCAGGAUCCUGUGGAAUUGCAGCUAGGCGCUCCACCCACUCGGCUUGGCACAAGCGCCGCGGGCAGGCGGCCAGCCCUGAUGAUUUUCCCUCCCUCACUGGGACACGCAGUGGCUGUAACUCAUCUGAUCACAUCGUUACAUCACUGUGGGAAUACUAUGCACUAACGAGUCAGUGUAAAUGCAUGGAAGUACAUGCUCAUGUAAUCCAGGCUAGAGCAAAUCUAGUGGUUUAUGUUGCGCUUUUCCUCUUAAGAAGCCAAACCCGGUCACAAAUAUUUUUCUCCACUAACUCUGCCAGCAGGCUUAAGAGCCAGGAACACACGCUAGUCUUAUCAAACAGCUAGCAUUAUGGUAUUAUUUCUUUUUACGAUUGUUUCAAGAAUGGAACUUUCUGCUUGGUACUGCAGAACCUCAGCAGAUGGGAACAGAAAGAGCAAUGAGACCGGCCGAAAUGCCUUUUCACUCGGUUUGCACCCACUCCAACUGGCCUAAAUAACAGCAAGAGGGACAGCACAGCAGCAUGUACAUAUGCAAGAAAUCAGAAAAUUUAGCAGUCUGAGGUGCUGUGCAAGGCUGUCACACUUCUUUUCAACUGUGCCUGAAGUUACAACCGGGUAACAUGGAAGAUGCGCUCAGGAGCCAGCUCUGCUUGGGUGUGAGACACCGGCCAUGCAGGCUUGGGGUCAAAUCAGGGCUAGCACUGUUCCGUGCAGCCAAGCACGUACAUGAAUGCAGCUACAGACACAGCUGACACUGUACAAACAUCUGCAGGCAAAAUGUUUCCUACAUCAGAAGUUUGCUCUCAAGGCCACUUACUAAGACUGCUUUCUUUUGUUGUUCCUAAGUAAGCGUAUGGCUAUAUGGCAAGCAAGCUAAUUAGGUGGGGAAUUUCAGACCUGAAGCUAAAAUUCCUUUAAGCCUUAAUUCUUCAAACCUAUAUGCACAAAUCUUCCUUCUGACAUGGAGCAGUCCUGCUGGAUUCAGAGUCUGCAGUGGGUACAGACACUUGCAGGCUAACAUAAGCAGGAGUGGGGCAGCACAGGAGAGCAUUAGAAGUGACCGCACCAGCCAGCCUGUAUUGCUAGGAGCAAAGAGAGUUUAGCUGUCUGUCAGAGAAAAAGAGCUCAUAAGUUCCCUGGAUAUAGAGAAAGCUUUGAUGGGAAGUAAAAACUGGGAUGCAAACUUUAGGAUCAGACUGUAGUUAUCCCAAAUCUUAUCUCCACAGGAGUUUGCACUGAUAAUACAUGAGAGCCCCAGCUGUCCGCCCAAUCAUGUACAAAUGCACUGACCCACUGACAUCAGCAGCACGCUCAGCAGAUGUUUGCUGGAACAGGACAUGGUAGGGGAAGUCUCAGAGCUAAUCCAAAGGAAAGGAGGAAAAUGAGCUGUAGUAUCAAAAUCUGGCUGAAAUCAGCAGAGGCACAAAUUUUCAAUCAACUAGAGCUUUCUCUUAAGCAUUUUCUGCAGCAGUCCAGUAAAAGUUUUAAAGGUGUACGCUGUGCUGUGACCUUAGUGAAAUUACAGCAAGAGGAACAGAAACCGUUAGUUAAAAAGACCGAACAAUCAUAAGAGUUGUCCCUGGCAGACUGGCUCUGAGUAAGGAAGGCAGAAGGUAACAGCGAACUUCUCGCCUUCCCCUAAACACGAGAAACUCAUAAAGAGAGAAGAAGAACCAGAAAAAACAAACAAGCAAACAACGGGGGAUGGGGAACACCACGCUCCCCUCCUCGCAGGGCAGCAGGUC